GUGAGUAACGCGUGGGAAUCUACCUAGCUCUACGGAAUAACUCAGGGAAACUUGAACUAAUACCGUAUACGCCCUUUGGGGGAAAGAUUUAUCGGAGUUGGAUGAGCCCGCGUCUGAUUAGCUAGUUGGUGGGGUAAAGGCCUACCAAGGCGACGAUCAGUAGCUGGUCUGAGAGGAUGAUCAGCCACACUGGGACUGAGACACGGCCCAGACUCCUACGGGAGGCAGCAGUGGGGAAUAUUGGACAAUGGGCGCAAGCCUGAUCCAGCCAUGCCGCGUGAGUGAUGAAGGCCCUAGGGUUGUAAAGCUCUUUCACCGGUGAAGAUAAUGACGGUAACCGGAGAAGAAGCCCCGGCUAACUUCGUGCCAGCAGCCGCGGUAAUACGAAGGGGGCUAGCGUUGUUCGGAAUUACUGGGCGUAAAGCGCACGUAGGCGGACCAUUAAGUCAGGGGUGAAAUCCCGGGGCUCAACCCCGGAACUGCCUUUGAUACUGGUGGUCUCGAGUUCGAGAGAGGUGAGUGGAAUUCCGAGUGUAGAGGUGAAAUUCGUAGAUAUUCGGAGGAACACCAGUGGCGAAGGCGGCUCACUGGCUCGAUACUGACGCUGAG
rnacentral:rRNA from 1 species